AAGACCUCCUCUCUUACAGAACCUUAAGUACCUCCUCUCUUACAGAACCUUAAGUUUGUCAUUCAUUCUCUUUUCUUUUUUUUUGUUGGUCUCGGAAGAGUUAUUACUUGUGAGUUUUCACUUUUCAAAGAUGACUGUUGAUUGAUCUCUGCCAUGCCUCUACGCUACCACGUCUGCAGGGUCUGUUCUUUCUCCUAUCUCUUUCUUUGCUACGUUCUUUCUCCUUUUCCAACCUUUGCAUCGGUGGAUUGUCGAGACGGGAGAGUAUGCUUGCUUUGAUCGUUCUUCAGACGUUUUACUGUUUCGGCUGUUUAUCAGUAAGCUUCGGGUUUCUCGUUGGUUGCUGCAAGGAUUGAACACAAGUGUUGAAAGCUUCUGAAGGCGAGAGAAGGUUUCAAGCUGAGUUGGAUUAGCUUUGGCACAUGACUGUCACGUGAGUUGUCCUUAACUUCAAAAGAAAGGGAGAGAGAGAGAGAGAUUAGAGAAGGAUUGUACUUUCAGCUUUGGCACAUGACUGUCACUUGAGUUGUCCUUAACUUCAAAAGAAAGGGGGAGAGAGAGAGAUUAGAGAAGGAUUGUACUUUCAGGUUUAGGGUGUUUCUCUGUUCUUCUCUUUUUUCGGGUGUAAACUGAUUGAUUUGUAAAAGUCUACACAACCAUGCCGGAGGUGAUUUCAGGUUAUCAUCUAUAAAACUUGGGGACCGCACCUAACCGGAUGUACCCGUUAGUUAACACGGAGAACCGGGUCAUAUCGCUCUGUGUUCUUUGAAUCUUUGAUUCAUUCCAACUCAAGUUCGUUGUUCUUGAA